AGUUAGGAGAACACUAGAAAAACUAGGAGAACACUAGAAAAACUAGGAGAACACUAGAAGAGUUAGGAGAACACUAGAAGAGUUAGGAGAACACUAGAAGAGUUAGGAGAACACUAGAAGAGUUAGGAGAACACUAGAAGAGUUAGGAGAACACUAGAAGAGUUAGGAGAACACUAGAAGAGUUAGGAGAACACUAGAAGAGUUAGGAGAACACUAGAAGAGUUAGGAGAACACUAGAAAAACUAGGAGAACACUAGAAGAGUUGUUUGGAGAACACUAGAAGAUUUAGAACACUAGAAGAGUUAGGAGAACACUAGAAGAGUUAGGAGAACACUAGAAGAGUUAGGAGAACACUAGAAGAGUUAGGAGAACACUAGAAGAGUUAGGAGAACACUAGAAAAACUAGGAGAACACUAGAAGAAAGAGUUGGAGAACACUAGAAGAGUUUGGAGAACACUAGAAAAACUAGAACACUAGAAGAGUUAAGAGAACACUAGAAGAAUUAGGAGAACACUAGAAGAGUUGUUUGGAGAACACUAGAAGAAUUAGGAGAACACUAGAAGAAUUAGGAGAACACUAGAAGAAUUAGGAGAACACUAGAAAAACUAGGAGAACACUAGAAGAGUUAGUUGGAGAACACUAGAAGAGUUUGGAGAACACUAGAAGAGUUUGGAGAACACUAGAAGAGUUAGGAGAACACUAGAAGAGUUAGGAGAACACUAGAAGAAUUAGGAGAACACUAGAAGAGUUGUUUGGAGAACACUAGAAGAGUUGUUUGGAGAACACUAGAAGAGUUUGGAGAACACUAGAAGAGUUAGGAGAACACUAGAAGAGUUAGGAGAACACUAGAAGAGUUUGGAGAACACUAGAAGAGUUUGGAGAACACUAGAAGAGUUAGGAGAACACUAGAAGAGUUGUUUGGAGAACACUAGAAGAGUUUGGAGAACACUAGAAGAGUUUGGAGAACACUAGAAGAGUUAGGAGAACACUAUAGAAAUAAAUGAGUCUCAUGGAUUGUUUCAUGUUUGACACUAUGGAAUAAUGUCUCAGAUAAAAGCAUGCAACUUUUCACCAGAUAAGCACAGAACAGAGAUUAACAAAAAGUAUCGUUUUUAUUUCACAACUUUGGAAUUGCCUUGGAAAAGUGCCAGUUUACUGGUACUCUGCAACUGUGGAACUUUCUGACAUUGAAGAACAUUGUACCAUAGCAGAGCUAUAAGACUGGGCCCCUCUAUCCCAGCACCUGUGUUCCAUAUACACAGACACAUCAAUGACACAUAGACAUACAGUAGAUAGAUGCUGUAGGUAUAGUGAUACAUGUAAAUAUAUAAGAUAGAUAUAGUGAUACAUAUCGUAGAUUCUAUAGCUAUAGAUAGACCCACAGUAGAUAGAUAUACUGGUGCAUAGAUAUAGUGAGACCUAGACACUGAAGCCAUGUUCGCUCUAUGUGCCACGACUCUCCUGUACUUCCUGUCUUUUAGCCAAUCAGCUCCUGCUGCAGCUCUAGCCUGUGAGGACCUCCUUAAGCCCAUGGAUCCACCACGACUAGACCAGCAGCUCUUGAGGAGAUGGGCCCUCGUCGCAGGCAGCUUGAGCCACCCUGCAUCCCUGGAGAGUCUCAAGACCAGAGACGGCAUCACCAUGGAGUUUUCACCCUCUACCCCCAACACCACCCAGAACUCCAACACCGCCACAACCGUCCACUACACCCAGACUAACCGUUUUGGCAGCCGUUGCGAGUCUCUAACCUACAAUAUCUCACUCAUCAACGACAACAGCACCUUCCAAUUCAACGUGGGGGGCCGAUUCAACCUCACUGGGGUCUUCCUGGAGACCUCCUGCCCAGACUGUCUGGUGAUGAAGUGGGAGGUGAGCUCCAGGAGGAGGGAGUCCACGGACCUGUACCUGCUGAGGAAGACGGAGGGUGGGAGAGAGGUGGAGGAAGAGGAGAUGGAAGAGUUCAGGAAACAGGUGGAGUGUAUGGGGCUGCCGCCGCCAGUGGUGAUGGAGCCGGGGGAUGCCCACUGUGGGUCCUAUCAGCUGCCCUGGAAACACUGAGGAGGAGGAGAAGACGAAGCUCGAUCAGAGUGAUCCGAGAGUGGGGGCCGUGAGACCGAUGUAGAGACACGUUUUCUGUCGUCUGUUUUGUAAUCCAACAUUUCUGUGUUUACUGUUUGUCGAUGACCUGUAGAAUUUUGAGGGGGGGAAAAAGAUGCACGAUUUGUCAUAUUAUUCUGUCUUCUUUGCUUCUUUAACAGAUGUAAUUACGUUCACAGACUGAUUUAAUGUCCCAGAGCUGCAGCUAAUUCACAGAGACAGUGGGAUCCAGCAGGAAUGUCGGGGCGUCAUUAGGACUCUAUGCACAAUGGGAAAGAAAAGUCUUUUAGAAUUGGAUUCCUUUUGUAUAAUUUGGCAUAACCUCAUUUUUCCACGUGCAUUAAAGUGCUCAUACUGUUAAUUCUCAGAUUAAACUGGAUGGAACCGUGAACAAUUUGUCAUUUGUGAGUGAGAGAGUGUUUCUGCAGAUGUGGGCGUGCACAAGCAAGGGGGGAAAUGUGGGUGUGAGUACGGACAUGGACACGGCCAGGGAGAGAGUAACCUACUUUCAGAAC
ensembl:lncRNA